GAUGAACGCUGGCGGCGUGCCUAAUACAUGCAAGUCGAGCGAACGGACGAGAAGCUUGCUUCUCUGAUGUUAGCGGCGGACGGGUGAGUAACACGUGGAUAACCUACCUAUAAGACUGGGAUAACUUCGGGAAACCGGAGCUAAUACCGGAUAAUAUUUUGAACCGCAUGGUUCAAAAGUGAAAGACGGUCUUGCUGUCACUUAUAGAUGGAUCCGCGCUGCAUUAGCUAGUUGGUAAGGUAACGGCUUACCAAGGCAACGAUGCAUAGCCGACCUGAGAGGGUGAUCGGCCACACUGGAACUGAGACACGGUCCAGACUCCUACGGGAGGCAGCAGUAGGGAAUCUGCCGCAAUGGGCGAAAGCCUGACGGAGCAACGCCGCGUGAGUGAUGAAGGUCUUCGGAUCGUAAAACUCUGUUAUUAGGGAAGAACAUAUGUGUAAGUAACUGUGCACAUCUUGACGGUACCUAAUCGGAAAGCCACGGCUAACUACGU
rnacentral:rRNA from 1 species